rnacentral:tRNA from 3 species
GCUCCCUUCGUCUAGCGGUUAGGACGCCGGCCUCUCACGCCGGUAACAGGGGUUCGAUCCCCCUAGGGAGCGCCA